rnacentral:rRNA from 2 species
GCGGCGGACGGGUGAGUAACACGUGGGCAACCUGCCUGUAAGACUGGGAUAACUUCGGGAAACCGAAGCUAAUACCGGUUAGGAUCUUCUCCUUCAUGGGAGAUGAUUGAAAGAUGGUUUCGGCUAUCACUUACAGAUGGGCCCGCGGUGCAUUAGCUAGUUGGUGAGGUAACGGCUCACCAAGGCAACGAUGCAUAGCCGACCUGAGAGGGUGAUCGGCCACACUGGGACUGAGACACGGCCCAGACUCCUACGGGAGGCAGCAGUAGGGAAUCUUCCGCAAUGGACGAAAGUCUGACGGAGCAACGCCGCGUGAGUGAUGAAGGCUUUCGGGUCGUAAAACUCUGUUGUUAGGGAAGAACAAGUACAAGAGUAACUGCUUGUACCUUGACGGUACCUAACCAGAAAGCCACGGCUAACUACGUGCCAGCAGCCGCGGUAAUACGUAGUGGCAAGCGUUAUCCGGAAUUAUUGGGCGUAAAGCGCGCGCAGGCGGUUUCUUAAGUCUGAUGUGAAGCCCACGGCUCAUCCGUGGAGGUCAUUGUAACUGGGGAACUUGAGUGCAGAUAACAAAGCGG